CAGCAGCCGCGGUAAUACGUAGGGUCCGAGCGUUGUCCGGAAUUAUGGGCGUAAAGGGCUCGUAGGCGGUUUGUUACGUCGGGAGUGAAAACUCAGGGCUCAACCCUGAGCGUGCUUCCGAUACGGGCAGACUAGAGGUAUUCAGGGGAGUACGGAAUUCCUGGUGUAGCGGUGGAAUGCGCAGAUAUCAGGAGGAACACCGGUGGCGAAGGCGGUUCUCUGGGAAUUACCUGACGCUGAGGAGCGGAAGCAUGGGGAGCGAACAGGAUUAGAUACCCUGGUAGUCCAUGCCGUAAACGUUGGGCGCUAGGUGUGGGGACCUUCCACGGUUUCCGUGCCGCAGCUAACGCAUUAAGCGCCCCGCCUGGGGCGUACGGCCGCAAGGCUAAAACUCAAAGGAAUUGACGGGGGCCCGCACAAGCGGCGGAGCAUGCUGAUUAAUUCGAUGCAACGCGAAGAACCUUACCUGGGUUUGACAUAUGCCGGAAAGCUGCAGAGAUGUAGCCCCCUUUUGGUCGGUAUACAGGUGGUGCAUGGCUGUCGUCAGCUCGUGUCGUGAGAUGUUGGGUUAAGUCCCGCAACGAGCGCAACCCUCGUUCUAUGUUGCCAGCACGUAAUGGUGGGGACUCAUAGGAGACUGCCGGGGUCAACUCGGAGGAAGGUGGGGAUGACGUCAAGUCUUCAUGCCCCUUAUGUCCAGGGCUUCAAGCAUGCUACAAUGGCCGGUACAAAGGGCUGCGUACUGCAAGGUGGAGCGAAUCCCAAAAAGCCGGUCUCAGUUCGGAUUGGGGUCUGCAACUCGACCCCAUGAAGUCGGAGUCGCUAGUAAUCGCAGAUCAGCAACGCUGCGGUGAAUACGUUCCCGGGCCUUGUACACACCGCCCGUCACGUCAUGAAAGUCGGCAACACCCGAAGCCAGUGGCCCAACCGUUUACG
rnacentral:rRNA from 1 species